UUUGACUGAAAUUCAUCGUGUAUUGUACAGGAACUUUUUAUUUUUCUCUAGUAUCGAGUCUUUGUAAGCAGCUUUUGGGUCAUAGUUUAACGCGGUGAAAUUGUGCUCGCUUGCCUAACUAUGAUACAUACAGGUGUCCAUGGAGAAUAAGCUAGUUGGUAAAUUAAGUUAUAAAAUGAAUUUGCAGCGUGUUGAAUGAGUUCGCUUCUUGGAAGGUUGAUGCUUAGGUCAUUAGGCUGCAUGAAGCGAAGAGGGGAUCAUGUUCAAAGAGUGAAGCUCGAGAUAAAGCUACAAGCAUCAAGCAACUACGUGCGGAUGUCCAGAAUGCAAUUGCGAACAAGAAUUAUGCAGUGGCAGCUGGAUUACGAGAUCAAGUUUCAAAACUGGAAGCAGAGUCUUUUGCUGCAUCUGCUGGAGCUCUGGCAUAUGAAAAUGCACAGUAUGCAUUUUGUUUAGGGCAGAAAGUGAGGCACAAAAUUUUUGAAAAAGAAUCUGUAGAGAUUGCGUUUAUGCCAUGGGAGCACAUCCUUGGAACUGAAUGUUAUAAUUCUGGACUCGGUAAAUGAAUUCUACAGCCGCAGCCGUAUAGAGUCUCUUA